AUUGAGACAGCUGGAGGGACCCCUUAGCUCAGGGGUUGGGCUCCUGCUGCUGGGCCACCUGGGCACUGCAGCGGCCACUCUGCCAGGUUGUGCUGCUGACUAGAAGGGGGCUGGUCUGCUGGGGCGGGGGACCUGUCUGCGGUCUGCAGCAUCCUAGAGUCCUGCUGAGGCAGAGGGGGCGGAGGCAGAGCCUGCAGCGGCUGCUGCGCCAGCAAGCCAGGACAGAGCUUUCUGGAUGGGGUCGCUGGGUCCGUGCAGGCACCAAGAAGGUCCUGGUGGAGGCUGCUGCUCGGUGCCUCGAAGAUCAGACUCUCUGAGGAACAAGGAAAUAAGCAGCUGACUCUGGGUCACUCCCUCCUGCGUCACCCCUCCAGAGGCUGCUUCUGGAUCGGUACUGGUUCCUCCUGGAGGACGACAAAGCCUUGUGAACUCAGGUGGGAGAUCUGAGAGCCUUGGGCCAGGUGCUGGUGACAGCCCUGGAUAGAUGGCCUUGAGUUAUCAGAUCCCAUCUGGAUGACCUGGAUGGAUGCAGGUGGAGAUCAGAGCUACACUUGAGGCUCUCUUGGUCUCCAGUGUGAAGAACCUGACACCUCAUGCAUAUGUGGCUACCUCCUCACGGUCGGUCGUUCCUUGUCUCAAAGCCUCUGGGUUCCAUCUCUCUGGGGAGCCCUAAGAGCAAGCAAGCUGGCCACUGAACAUGGGAGCAUCAUCCCGCUGACCACACACAGGCAAGUCCAUCAGGACAUUGUAAUGGCGCCAUAAGAAAAUUUCAGAGCAGAGCAUGGGAGCCCGGGGGUUUACCGUCUGUCUGUGGUGUGGGGACUGGGGACAAUGCCCUUCCUCAACACAUCUGGGGAUUUUGCCUUUUGCCUGGUGGGAAAUUUGAAUGUAGGUAUCCUGGUUGGUUUUUAUUGCCGACUUGACCCAAACUAGUGUCACGUGGGAGGAGAGAACCUCAAUUGAGGAAUUGCCUAUUUCAGAUUGCCUUAUAGGCGUGUCUGUGGGGCAUUUUCCUGGCUAAUCAAUGUAGGAGGGCCCACUGUGGACAGUAUGAAGGGACAGUAUGCAGGGUCUUGGCCUGUAUAAGAAAGCUGACUGAGAAGAAGCCAGAGAAUAAGCUAGUAAACAGUGUCCCCUCCAUGGCUCCUCCUGCCUCUAGGUUCUUGGCUUGGCUUCCCUCUCUGAUGGACUGUAAGGUGAAAUAAACCCCUCCCUCUAUAAGUUGCUUUGGUUAUGGUGUUUAUCAUAGUAACAGAAGGCAAACCAAGGUGUAGCAAAUGCAAUGAAGUAUGGGGCUGCCUGGUGUACCCGUGUGCAUGUGAGCACGGUCUGUGCAUUCCCCAGAUCUCAUGUCUAGAUGCUCUGAUGUAUCCUGAGGGUUAUUCUGCCCAAGAGCAUUUCAGGAAGUAGGGGAGAGGACUAGGAGGCUGGGAUGAGAGUGCCCCCUCAGGCUCUGCUCCAGGAGUGGGACACAGCUGCUGUCCCAUCACCUCCUAUCAGCCCAGCACAGUUCACUCCCUAUCUGAAGAUCAGUUGGGCCGUGGCCAGGUUAGAGAUGGGAGGGACAUCUCAUGCGUGUGGUUAUCUGCUUUAGAUCAGGAUCCUUUUUGUUAGUCUUAGGGGCUGAGCUCUGCUAGGCUGGACCCAGUUUGCCAUCCAGGGCCAGAUGUGAGUGCUGGAGGAAAGACUGGGUGUCUGAGAGGAGCUUGGGGUCCCAGUCAGCCAUGAGAUACAGUCAUAUGAUUCCUUCCUAGGAAUCUACUGAGUACUGAGGAAGCCAUGUCUGGCCGUGGCUCAAGUUCACGCAGAAGGAAUAUCUGGUGGUGAAGCCAGAGUCAGGUAUUUGUCCAUAUCGAGCAGAGUCUGCUUCAGAACACUUCUGUCCUCUACAGCCUCCAGCAGACACAGACCCAACUGCCUAUGUCUGAUCUGGGGUGUGGGAGCAGGCAGGGUGGUGUCCUCACAGUCUGGGUUGCUGAAGUCCUGGAUCUAGGUUCUGGCCUGCUGGUUCCUCCCAAGGCCUGUUCUGACUUGUGGUGGCGUCUUUCCCCUACAUCCUCACACGAUCUCCUACUAUGUGUAUGUAUUGUCAUCUUUUUUUCCUCAGAGGACGAUGGCCUCUUAGAUAGGCCUGCCAGAUGACCUUAUUUUUCCUUAAUGAACUCUUUCAAGACCCCAUCUCUGAAUGUAGUCACAUUCUGAGGUGCUGGGGUCAGGGUCAACACACUCUCUAUGGGAGACCCUGCUGCAAACAGAAUUCCUGACAGGCUCUGGCAGGCCAGCUGGGUGUGGGCAUUUGCCUAGGUGCUCAGUGGAAAGUCCCCUUCCAGAGUUUCCAGCCCUGAAGAGCUAAGAGCCAUGGAAGUUUGCUCAAGACAUCAUGGGACAGGCCUGGAGCUUCUGAUGGUCGAGCGCUGGUCUAGGUUUUCUCUGUCAGCUUCUUUUGCUCCCUGGUGGAGACUUCCUCUUAUCUGUGGUGAUAGGUGG